GUGUCAGCCGCCGCGGUAAUACGUAGGGUCCGAGCGUUGUCCGGAGUUACUGGGCGUAAAGCGUACGCAGGCGGCGGCAUUGGCCCGGCGUGAAAGCCCCCGGCUCAACCGGGGAGGGUCGUCGGGGACCGUGCCGCUUGAGGGCAGCAGGGGUUGGUGGAAUGCCCGGUGUAGUGGUGAAAUGCGUAGAGAUCGGGCGGAACACCCGUGGCGAAGGCGGCCAACUGGGCUGACCCUGACGCUGAGGUACGAAGGCGUGGGGAGCGAACGGGAUUAGAUACCCCCGUAGUCC
rnacentral:rRNA from 1 species